rnacentral:SRP_RNA from 1 species
GCUGGGCAUGGUGGCGCAUGCCUGUAAUCCCAGCUACUGGGGAGGCCAAGGCAGAAGAAUCACUUGAACCCAGGAGAUGGAGGUUGCAGUGAGCCAAGAUCAUGCCACUGCACUCCAGCCUGGGUGACAGAGCAAGACUCUGCCUCAA